UACGUAGGGUGCAAGCGUUGUCCGGAAUUAUUGGGCGUAAAGAGCUCGUAGGCGGUUCGUCGCGUCGGCUGUGAAAUCCCGAGGCUCAACCUCGGGUCUGCAGUCGAUACGGGCGGACUGGAGUUCGGCAGGGGAGACUGGAAUUCCUGGUGUAGCGGUGAAAUGCGCAGAUAUCAGGAGGAACACCGGUGGCGAAGGCGGGGUCUCUGGGCCGGUACUGACGCUGAGGCGCGAAAGCGUGGGGAGCAAACAGG
rnacentral:rRNA from 1 species